UUUUGAUGAAUGAAAUAAGAUUGUUGCUGUACAUUCUUAUUUUUAUUUUUUGAAACGGAGUCUCACUCUGUCAUAUAGGCUGGAUAGCAGUGGCUUGAUCUCUGCUCACUGCAACCUCCACCUACCAGGUUCAAGCAAUUCUCCUGCCUCAGCCUUCCAAGUAGCUGGGAUUACAGGCGCACAUCACCACACCCAGAUAAUUUUUAUAUUUGUAGUAGAGAUGGUGUUUCACCAUUUGGUCAGGCUGGUCUUGAACUCCUGACCUCAGGUGAUCCACCUGCCUCAGCCUCCCAAAGUGCUGGGAUUACAGUUGUGAGCCACUGCACCCGGCCAAGAACCACUUAUUGAUCUCAAUUUAAAAUUGCUACAAU
rnacentral:lncRNA from 10 species